GAUGAACGCUGGCGGCGUGCCUAAUACAUGCAAGUCGAGCGAACGGACGCGAAGCUUGCUUUUCUGAUGUUAGCGGCGGACGGGUGAGUAACACGUGGAUAACCUACCUAUAUGUCUGGGAUCACUUCGGGAAACCGGAGCUAAUACCGGAUAAUAUUUUGAACCGCAUGGUUCAUAAGUGAAUGACGGUCUUGCUGUCUCUUAUAGAUGGAUCCGCGCUGCAUUAGCUAGUUGUUAAGGUAACGGCUUACCAAGGCAACGAUGCAUAGCCGACCUGAGAGGGUGAUCGGACACACUGGAAGUGAGACACGGACCAGACGACUACGGGAGGGAGCAGAAGGGAAUCUGCCGCAAUGGGCGAAAACCUGACGGAGCAACGCCGAGUGAGAGAUGAAAGUGUUCGGAGCGUAAAACUCUGUUAUGAGGGAAGAACAUAUGUGUAAGUAACUGUACAGAUCGUGACGGUACCGAAUAAGAAAGCAACGGCUAACUACGUG
rnacentral:rRNA from 1 species